rnacentral:lncRNA from 1 species
ACACCGUAUAAAUUCUGAUAAAAUUCUAUACUAGAUUCAAUUUUAUACAAAUAUGAAUGUCAAAAUUUAACAUUAAUUUGACAUAAAUUCGUCUCCGAAUUCGCAUUAAAAUAAAUAAAAGAAUGGAUACGAAUAUGAUUUCUUACAGAAUCCGACCAUAUUCAACUGUUUUCAUUCAUAAAAGAUAAGAAGGAUGUUAAUAUAUAUUGUAAAAUAAUAAAUAAUUUUUUAUUAUAUUUUUUGUUUAUUUUACUAGAAGUUUAAUAUUAAAAUUGUAUUUAUAUUUAUUAAAAAUAUUAAAAUUUAUUGAAUGAAAUAUAGGUAUAAAAAAUUUGGACACAAAUAUGAACCUUUAAUUAUAUAUACAUAUUAAUAUAUAUUAUUAUUCGAAUAAUAUUUAAAUACAAAUACGUUUUAAAUAGAAAUAGUAAUAAAAAUUUAACAUGCGACACAUAUCCGUAUCACAAUUCGCAUAUGAGGAAAAGUAUGGAUGUGUAUAUAAUUUU